UGGGGAAUAUUGCGCAAUGGGCGAAAGCCUGACGCAGCGACGCCGCGUGAGGGAUGACGGCCUUCGGGUUGUAAACCUCUUUCAGCAGGGAAGAAGCGAAAGUGACGGUACCUGCAGAAGAAGCACCGGCUAACUACGUGCCAGCAGCCGCGGUAAUACGUAGGUUGCAAGCGUUGUCCGGAAUUAUUGGGCGUAAAGAGCUCGUAGGCGGUCUGUCGCGUCGGAUGUGAAAAUCCAGGGCUCAACCAUGGACCUGCAUUCGAUACGGGCAGACUAGAGAUCGGUAGGGGAGACUGGAAUUCCUGGUGUAGCGGUGAAAUGCGCAGAUAUCAGGAGGAACACCGGUGGCGAAGGCGGGUCUCUGGGCCGAAACUGACGCUGAGGAGCGAAAGCGUGGGGAGCGAACAGG
rnacentral:rRNA from 1 species